GCUUACUAUUUAAAAUCUUUAGGGAUUGCGUUAGGCAAAGCUGUGGAGAGAUUUCUUUUGUUUCGGAAUUCAAGUUGAGGCCAUCAUAUGGAUUCCUCUGUAAAUCAAGCUUUGCUUUAGGCCUUAGGGUUUAUACGAAUCUGCCAUAUAGCUUCAAGUUUCUUAAUCUUCCGAGUGAUGAUGAAUUCUGAUUACUCAUGAAGAAACAUCUUCGAUUCUUGAUCACUCAAUUAUGAAGUUAAUGGCGCGCAGAAGAGAAAGAAGAAGAAAGAAAAGGAAAAUCGGCCGGAGACGUUAUCGAUCCUUUUGAUUCGUUAUUGACAUGACGUUAUCGAUUCUAUCUGGAAAAAGCCUCUCAAUGAAUGCCAACUCGAUCUGCAAUCUUGUUUCUAUGAUUGGAGAUAUUUGGAUUCCGGCUUCCAACUCUAUCCAGCGAUGGCAAGGGGGAAAGUAAUUCAGUUCUUGCUUUCAAGGGAUUGCGGCGAGGAUUUGAAUGAAGUCACUGAAUCAUUCUUGAUACGGAUACAGAGGAAGGAGGUUCCUCAUUUUCGUCUCAACGAUGAAACGUGUAUGUGCACAUACAAACCCGUCUCUAAUUUCUAAAGGAGGUUCCUCAUAAAUGUAUGUUGGUGCAGUGUAAUGUUGUGAAGAAUUGAACACAAUUUGAGGGUAGUUGGUUGGGGCAUUACUAUGAUAAAAUGUACAUAAAACGACCUUUGCCAUGACGGGUGCGCUUGCUUGGCAGGUCAAAAACUUCAAUAAAAGUAUCAUUGUUUCGUGUGUUUGGGGGAGGAGAUGACACGGGCACUUUACUCUUUUUUUCUUUUGCCCGACUCUCCUCCCCUAUGCUCUGAGUGUGUCUCUCUCUCCCUCUACUUUUGCUUCUAUUUAUUACGUCUCCAUUGCCAUUGCAUUUACAAUAAUGGGGUUCUUUAACUAUCAUUUUUCAAUUUCAGUUGGGUCUUUUUAGUUUUUAUUCCACAUUAACUUAUGUAAUUUAUUCCUAUUUCCCACUGUCCUUACCUGUUAUUUUUCAAGGCAUGGACUCCCUUUUUGUAAUUAAUAAAAUAACAAUUCUUCUUCUUUUGACCCGUCUU